CCUUUAACGUGGGGGAUAGCCUCUCGAAAGAGAGAUUAAUACCCCAUAGUAUAACUGAAGAGCUAUUUUUUGGUUAUUAAAGAUUUAUCGGUUAAAGAUGGGCAUGCGGCUGAUUAGGUAGUUGGUGAGGUAAUGGCUCACCAAGCCAACGAUCAGGUAGGGGGUCUGAGAGGAUCGUCCCCCCACACUGGUACUGAGACACGGACCAGACUCCUACGGGAGGCAGCAGUAGGGAAUAUUGGACAAGUGGGGGCAACCCUGAUCCAGCCAUUCCGCGUGCAGGAAUAAGGCCCUAUGGGUCGUAAACUGUCUUUUUGUAUGGGAAAAAAUCAUCUUACGUGUAGGAUGUUGAUGGUACCAUGAGAAUAAGGAUCGGCUAACUUCGUG
rnacentral:rRNA from 1 species